rnacentral:antisense_RNA from 1 species
AUAGAGCAACAAACUCUAUACAGUUUUAGUGAGCCCCGUUAGUCUUCUCUGGUCGCCAAACUUAGAGGAAGAUUAUCGGGGUUUUUGCUU